CUACGGGGGGCAGCAGUGGGGAAUAUUGGACAAUGGGGGAAACCCUGAUCCAGCAAUGCCGCGUGUGUGAAGAAGGCCUGCGGGUUGUAAAGCACUUUCGGUUGGGAGGACUGCUUCUAGCACUAAUAUUGUUGGAAGUUGACGUUACCUUCAGAAGAAGCACCGGCUAGCUCCGUGCCAGCAGCCGCGGUAAUACGGAGGGUGCAAGCGUUGAUCGGAAUUACUGGGCGUAAAGCGCGCGUAGGCGGCUAGAUCAGUCGGGUGUGAAAGCCCCGGGCUUAACCUGGGAACUGCAUCCGAUACUGUCUAGCUUGAGUACAGGAGAGGAGAGUGGAAUUCCACAUGUAGCGGUGAAAUGCGUAGAUAUGUGGAGGAACACCAAUGGCGAAGGCAGCUCUCUGGCCUGAUACUGACGCUGAGGUGCGAAAGCGUGGGGAGCAAACAGGAUUAGAUACCCGUGUAUUC
rnacentral:rRNA from 1 species